GUGCUUGCACCGCCUGAUUAGUGGCGAACGGGUGAGUAACACGUGAGUAACCUGCCCCUCACUUCGGGAUAACCUCGGGAAAUCGUGGCUAAUACCGGAUAUUAGUGUGCACCGCAUGGUGCGUGUUGGAAAGAUUUAUCGGUGGGGGAUGGACUCGCGGCCUAUCAGUUUGUUGGUGAGGUAAUGGCUCACCAAGACGAUGACGGGUAGCCGGCCUGAGAGGGCGACCGGCCACACUGGGACUGAGACACGGCCCAGACUCCUACGGGAGGCAGCAGUGGGGAAUAUUGCACAAUGGGCGAAAGCCUGAUGCAGCGACGCCGCGUGGGGGAUGACGGCCUUCGGGUUGUAAACCCCUUUCAGUAGGGAAGAAGCGAAAGUGACGGUACCUGCAGAAGAAGCGCCGGCUAACUACGUGCCAGCAGCCGCGGUAAUACGUAGGGCGCAAGCGUUGUCCGGAAUUAUUGGGCGUAAAGAGCUUGUAGGUGGCUUGUCGCGUCUGCCGUGAAAACCCGAGGCUCAACUUCGGGCGUGCGGUGGGUACGGGCAGGCUAGAGUGUGGUAGGGGAGACUGGAACUCCUGGUGUAGCGGUGAAAUGCGCAGAUAUCAGGAAGAACACCGAUGGCGAAGGCAGGUCUCUGGGCCAUUACUGACACUGAGAAGCGAAAGCAUGGGUAGCGAACAGGAUUAGAUACCCUGGUAGUCCAUGCCGUAAACGUUGGGCACUAG
rnacentral:rRNA from 1 species